rnacentral:lncRNA from 1 species
AAGUAUAAUGCUUAUUUACAUGAUUGUAGUUUACAGGAGGUAUUUGUAUUGAAAUAUUUGGAAAUGUUUAUUAGGUACAAUAUGAUUACUUUUAUAAUAAAUUUUCAUUAGAAUUUUGGGGUAAAAAAAAAAGAAUGAACAAAUUGUGACUGAGGUAGUGAGAGUUGAAGUUUUCAUUGGAUAUGGUGAUUAUAAUAAAGAUGUGUCCUAUUCACAAGGUGAUAGUCAAUUAUCUUUCCAACAAACGAGGGAAAAAAUGUGAAAAGAACCAUUAUCAUCAAUAGUCAGAACUCAGGAGAAGUUGGUGCCAUCCAAAUCUUAUUGAAAAUAAUUAUUCAAAACGUUGUAUGUAUCACAUCAAUUACUUUUUUCUUUUCCAUGUUUUCUGCUAAUAUUGUUAUUUAAAGUGUCUAAAGAUUAAACGGGUAAUCUCAAUCUAAUGAAAUAUCAAAAAAGGGUGCUUAAGUCAUAACAUUUAUCAUGUUUAUUGGGCCAUAGAAAACUGCUGUGACAUACUCCCAAGAAACCAUGAGACUAGGAAAUGGACAUUUAUUCCAGUUUCUGUGUUAAUAAAAUUUAACUGAAUAAUUGUAAUUUUGUAUAAACAUUAUCAAAGACCAAAAAAUAAUAUUAUCAAAAUUUAAUAAAUGAUUUUAAACAACUAUAAACUGA